rnacentral:tRNA from 1 species
GCCCGGAUGGUGAAAUUGGUAGACACGCUAGGUUCAGGGUCUAGUCCAUUUACGUGGAUGGGGGUUCGAGUCCCCCUCCGGGCA